rnacentral:piRNA from 1 species
UUCUAUGAAUUGGAUGUAGAA